rnacentral:rRNA from 1 species
AAACCAGCACCUCAAGUGGUCAGGAUGAUUAUUGGGCCUAAAGCAUCCGUAGCCUGCUCUGUAAGUUUUCGGUUAAAUCUGUACGCUUAACGUACAGGCUGCCGGGAAUACUGCAGAGCUAGGGAGUGGGAGAGGUAGACGGUACUCGGGAGGAAGUGGUAAAAUGCUUUGAUCUCUCGAUGACCACCUGUGGCGAAGGCGGUCUACCAGAACACGUCCGACGGUGAGGGAUGAAAGCUGGGGGAGCAAAACGGAUUAGAAACCCGAGUAGUCC